GACGUAACAUGCCUGACCCGACAAGGUUACUUGUUGUGUGUUGGGUCGUGUUUGUCAUCCUUCUAGAAAAUGUUAUUGCACUUCACUGUGUGAUAGCACUAUCUAGAUCUUUUACUUUGAAAAAAUUAGAGUGUUUAAAGCAGGCUUUUGCUAUGAAUACAUUAGCAUGGAAUAAUAAUUUAGGACUUCGGUUCUAUUUUGUUGGUUUCUAGGAUUGACGUA
rnacentral:rRNA from 1 species